AUUGAACGCUGGCGGCAGGCCUAACACAUGCAAGUCGAGCGCGCGGCGGACGGGUGAGAAAUGUGUGGGGAUCUGCCCGAUAGAGGGGGAAAACUACUGGACACGGUGGCUAACACCGUAUUCACUUGGAUGCACCCAUAUGGGCUUAGCUAGUAGGUGGGGUAAAGGCGCACCUAGGCGACGAUCUCUAGCUGGUCUGAGAGGAUGAUCAGCCACACUGGGACUGAGACACGGCCCAGACUCCUACGGGAGGCAGCAGUGGGGAAUAUUGCACAAUGGGCGCAAGCCUGAUGCAGCCAUGCCGCGUGUAUGAAGAAGGCCUUAGGGUUGUAAAGUACUUUCAGCGGGGAGGCGUUACCCGCAGAAGAAGCACCGGCUAACUCCGUGCCAGCAGCCGCGGUAAUAC
rnacentral:rRNA from 1 species